rnacentral:rRNA from 1 species
AGUGAACGCUGGCGGCGUGCCUAAUACAUGCAAGUCGAACGGACAAGUAAGGGCUUGCUCUUAUGAGUUAGUGGCGCACGGGUGAGUAAUGUAUAGCUAAUCUGCCCUACACUAGAGGACAACAGUUGGAAACGACUGCUAAUACUCUAUACUCCUCUCUAACAUAAGUUAGAUAGGGAAAGUUUUUCGGUGUAGGAUGAGGCUAUAUUGUAUCAGCUAGUUGGUGAGGUAAUGGCUCACCAAGGCUAUGACGCAUAACUGGUCUGAGAGGAUGAUCAGUCACACUGGAACUGAGACACGGUCCAGACUCCUACGGGGGGCAGCAGUAGGGAAUAUUGCUCAAUGGGGGAAACCCUGAAGCAGCAACGCCGCGUGGAGGAUGACACUUUUCGGAGCGUAAACUCCUUUUGUUAGGGAAGAACAAUGACGGUACCUAACGAAUAAGCACCGGCUAACUCCGUGCCAGCAGCCGCGGUAAUACGGAGGGUGCAAGCGUUACUCGGAAUCACUGGGCGUAAAGGACGCGUAGGCGGAUUAUCAAGUCUCUUGUGAAAUCCUAUGGCUUAACCAUAGAACUGCUUGGGAAACUGAUAAUCUAGAGUGAGGGAGAGGCAGAUGGAAUUGGUGGUGUAGGGGUAAAAUCCGUAGAGAUCACCAGGAAUACCCAUUGCGAAGGCGAUCUGCUGGAACUCAACUGACGCUAAUGCGUGAAAGCGUGGGGAGCAAACAGG